UCGAGAAUCUUUCGCAAUGGGCGAAAGCCUGACGAAGCGACGCCGUGUGAAUGAUGAAGGCCUCGGGUCGUAAAGUUCUUUCGCCUGGGAACAAGAGAAGCUGACGAAUAAUCAGCUGAUUUGAGCGUACCAGGUAAAGAAGCACCGGCUAACUCCGUGCCAGCAGCUGCGGUAAUACGGAGGGUGCAAGCAUUAAUCGGAAUUAUUGGGCGUAAAGGGCGCGUAGGCGGAUGAGUAUGUCAAAUGUGAAAUCCCAAGGCUCAACCUUGGACCUGCAUUUUGAAACUGCUUUUUCUGGAGGGUAGGCGGAGAAAACGGAAUUCCACGUGUAGCGGUGAAAUGCGUAGAUAUGUGGAAGAACACCAGUGGCGAAGGCGGUUUUCUAGCUUAUAACCUGACGCUGAGGCGCGAAAGCAAGGGGAG
rnacentral:rRNA from 1 species